rnacentral:rRNA from 1 species
CCUACGGGAGGCAGCAGUGGGGAAUAUUGCACAAUGGAGGAAACUCUGAUGCAGCGACGCAGCGUGAGUGAAGAAGGAAUUCGUUAUGGAAAACUCUAUCAGCAGGGGAGUAAAUGACAGUAUCUGUGUAGUAAGCUACGUAUAACUUCGGUCCAGCUGCCGCGGUUAUACGUAGGCAGCAGGCGUGAUCCGGAUUUACUGGGUGUAAAGGGAGCGUAGGCGGGAGAGUAAGUCCGGAGUGAAAGGCGGGGGCUCAACCCGAGAAUUGCCGUGGAAACUGUACGACUGGAGUGCAGGAGAGGUAAGCGGAAUUCGUGGUGUAGCGGUGAAAUGCGUAGAUAUUAGGAGGAACACCGGUUGCGAAGGCAGCUUACUGGACUGUAACUGACGUUGAGGCUCGAAAGCGUGGGGAGCAAACAGGAUUAGAUACCCCUGUAGUC